rnacentral:rRNA from 1 species
CUACGGGGGGCUGCAGUGAGGAAUAUUGCACAAUGGGGGAAACCCUGAUGCAGCAACGCCGCGUGGAGGAUGACGCAUUUCGGUGUGUAAACUCCUUUUAUCAGAGAAGAAAAUGACGGUAUCUGAUGAAUAAGCUCCGGCUAACUCCGUGCCAGCAGCCGCGGUAAUACGGAGGGAGCAAGCGUUAUUCGGAAUCACUGGGCGUAAAGGACGCGUAGGCGGGACAGUAAGUCAGGUGUGAAAUCCAAUGGCUCAACCAUUGAACUGCACUUGAAACUGCUGACCUAGAGUACUGAAGGGGCAGAUGGAAUUAGUGGUGUAGGGGUAAAAUCCGUAGAUAUCACUAGGAAUACCGAAAGCGAAGGCGAUCUGCUGGGAAGUUACUGACGCUGAGGCGUGAAAGCGUGGGGAGCAAACAGGAUUAGAUACCCCCGUAGUC